UUAUUUAAUUCGAUCAACACAAAUUUAUCAUGAAUUUCUAAUCAAAUUUAAAAAAAUUGAGUUAGCUUAAAAAUAAAAUAUAAUAUGCUCCCUUCUCUUAUUUAAUCUCCUAAAUCAUUGUCAAUUCACAAAAAAAAUUGAAAUGUCAUAACUUUUGUUUGAGGUGGGUUAAACAUUCAUAUGUUUGCAAUAUUUAUUUUGGCUUUAUUUUUUUUUGUGUGUGCAGGUGGAUUGUAGUAAGAGAAUCACGUUUGAAAAAAUUUAACUAAUUUUAAAUUUAAUUUUUAUACACACAUAGUUUUUUUGUAAGAAAAAAUAAUUAAUUUGAAAAAUAAAACUGUCAAAUGAUAGAAGUGCGAACAUUCUAUUUAAAUUUUGAGUUUAAGUUAAAAAAUAUGUAACUAAGAGAAUUCGAAAUUUUUUAUUAACAUAGACUACAAACUAACUCCCGUAAUUCUACUUAAAAAAGGACGAAAAAUUACGACAUGAUUAAAUGGUUACUUUUUGAAUCUUUCAUUUAUUUUGGAAUCUUCUUCUAAUUUAUAUUUCAUUUUUAUGUUGUGUAUAACAAACCUUAUCUAUUCUAAUUUUUAUAUUUUGAGGUAAGAGAGAAGAACACUUAACUGGUGAUGUGUGUAACACAAAAAAAUAAUUUAACUCAGUUAAGUAAUUAAAAUACAAUAGAGGAUUUGAAUUAAUAUUGAAAAUGUAAUGGAGUAAUUAGAUAAUACAUAUAUUGUUAUUUAUAAAUUUUAAAUGAACGAUAUAGGAUAAGAGUAAAAAAAAAAAACGCUAAAACAAUCAAUGUUAAUAAUUUGAAAUCCUUAAAUUGUAC
rnacentral:lncRNA from 1 species